rnacentral:rRNA from 1 species
CUACGCACUCCUACGGAGGCAGCAGUGGGGAAUAUUGCACAAUGGGCGCAAGCCUGAUGCAGCCAUGCCGCGUGUAUGAAGAAGGCCUUCGGGUUGUAAAGGUACUUUCAGCAGUGAGGAAGGUGGAUAUGUUAAUAGCAUAUUCAUUUGACGUUAGCUGCAGAAGAAGCACCGGCUAACUCCGUGCCAGCAGCCGCGGUAAUACGGAGGGUGCGAGCGUUAAUCGGAAUUACUGGGCGUAAAGCGCAUGCAGGUGGUUUGUUAAGUCAGAUGUGAAAGCCCGGGGCUCAACCUCGGAAUUGCAUUUGAAACUGGCAAACUAGAGUACUGUAGAGGGGGUAGAAUUUCAGGUGUAGCGGUGAAAUGCGUAGAGAUCUGAAGGAAUACCGGUGGCGAAGGCGGCCCCCUGGACAGAUACUGACACUCAGAUGCGAAAGCGUGGGGAGCAAACAGGAUUAGAUACCCUGGUAG